rnacentral:ncRNA from 1 species
GGCGUACUACUCCACAACAAUAGACGUCCCGCCUGAAAAAAAGGAGGAAAAUGCCCUGCUCGGGCUGCGGCAGCGUGGAGACCUGUCGUAACGCGGCUGAACACCGCGAGGGCGCCUCUUGCGAAGGCAGGGCGCCUGGAGCAAAGCAACAUGGCA